rnacentral:lncRNA from 1 species
CGGACCGGCCAUGGCCCCGCCCCGCCGGCCCCGCCCCCCGCCCCCACGCCCUCAGGGUGAAAUGGCGGCAGCGACAGCGCUGACUGGGGCUCUUACGGGAUAUUCCGGGCAUUGCCCACUCGGCUUCGCCGUCCCGCCCGCGCCUCUGACCCCGGGCAUGGAGGCUUUGGGAAAGCACCCGUUUUUUCUGAAUUUUGGAAUGUUUGGCAGAACCUACCACUCAGAUGUCCACGUAUGAACUAGUAGAGUGAGGUGUUCCCUUGCUCUCUAGAGGAUGCCUGCACUUCAAGGUUUGGUUGGUUUGGUUUAUUUGAAGAACUAAGUCUGAUAAUAAAAUGAAGUCAAACCCACA